rnacentral:rRNA from 1 species
CCCUACGGGGCGCAGCAGUGAGGAAUAUUGGUCAAUGGGCGGGAGCCUGAACCAGCCAAGUCGCGUGAGGGAAGACGGUCCUAUGGAUUGUAAACCUCUUUCGGCGGGGAGCAAUGCCGGGCACGCGUGCCCGGAGGGAGAGUACCCGCAGAAUAAGCAUCGGCUAACUCCGUGCCAGCAGCCGCGGUAAUACGGAGGAUGCGAGCGUUAUCCGGAUUUAUUGGGUUUAAAGGGUGCGUAGGCGGAUUUUUAAGUCAGCGGUAAAAUGUCCGGGCUCAACCCCGUCGAGCCGUUGAAACUGGCAG